rnacentral:rRNA from 1 species
UACGUAGGGUGCAAGCGUUGUCCGGAAUUAUUGGGCGUAAAGAGCUCGUAGGCGGCCUGUCGCGUCGGCUGUGAAAACCCGGGGCUCAACCCCGGGCCUGCAGUCGAUACGGGCAGGCUAGAGUCCGGCAGGGGAGACUGGAAUUCCAGGUGUAGCGGUGAAAUGCGUAGAUAUCUGGAGGAAUACCGGUGGCGAAGGCGGCAUCCUGGACCGGCAUUGACGCUGAGUGAGCGAAAGCCAGGGGAGCAAACGGG